rnacentral:rRNA from 1 species
GACGAACGCUGGCGGCGUGCUUAACACAUGCAAGUCGAACGGAAAGGCCCUGCUUUUGUGGGGUGCUCGAGUGGCGAACGGGUGAGUAACACGUGAGUAACCUGCCCUUGACUUUGGGAUAACUUCAGGAAACUGGGGCUAAUACCGGAUAGGAGCUCCUGCUGCAUGGUGGGGGUUGGAAAGUUUCGGCGGUUGGGGAUGGACUCGCGGCUUAUCAGCUUGUUGGUGGGGUAGUGGCUUACCAAGGCUUUGACGGGUAGCCGGCCUGGGAGGGUGACCGGCCACAUUGGGACUGAGAUACGGCCCAGACUCCUACGGGAGGCAGCAGUGGGGAAUAUUGCACAAUGGGCGGGAGCCUGAUGCAGCAACGCCGCGUGCGGGAUGACGGCCUUCGGGUUGUAAACCGCUUUCGCCUGUGACGAAGCGUGAGUGACGGUAAUGGGUAAAGAAGCACCGGCUAACUACGUG